CCUACGGGGGGCAGCAGUGAGGAAUAUUGGUCAAUGGGCGCGAGCCUGAACCAGCCAAGUAGCGUGAAGGAUGACUGCCCUAUGGGUUGUAAACUUCUUUUAUAAAGGAAUAAAGUGAGGUACGUGUGCCUUUUUGUAUGUACUUUAUGAAUAAGGAUCGGCUAACUCCGUGCCAGCAGCCGCGGUAAUACGGAGGAUCCGAGCGUUAUCCGGAUUUAUUGGGUUUAAAGGGAGCGUAGGUGGGUUGUUAAGUGAGUUGUGAAAGUUUGCGGCUCAACCGUAAAAUUGCAAUUGAUACUGGCAGCCUUGAGUACAGUUGAGGUAGGCGGAAUGCGUGGUGUAGCGGUGAAAUGCUUAGAUAUCACGCAGAACUCCGAUUGCGAAGGCAGCUUACUAAACUGCCACUGACAUUGAUGCUCGAAAGUGUGGGUAUCAAACAGGAUUAGAUACCCUUGUAGUC
rnacentral:rRNA from 1 species